AUGGGGGCGCGGAUGCACCAGGAUCCUAUCGUCCCGUGACAGGAUUUAUGACGAACCUCCCCACCCGCGCGUCCCUCAGUGACGCGGGACACAGAUUCGUACACUCUACUAUGGGAGGCGCUGCUCGAUUCAACUCAGCGCCGCCCCCAGACUCUUAUCAGACAUCACGCGGUGGAUACCGCGGGAGCCAUCUCAGCAGAGGCAACAGCUACGGUGGCGGUGGCGGUGGAUACGGUGGCGGUGGCGGAGGAUAC